rnacentral:rRNA from 1 species
UACGUAGGGACCAAGCGUUGUUCGGAUUUACUGGGCGUAAAGGGCGCGUAGGCGGCGUGGUAAGUCACUUGUGAAAUCUCUGAGCUUAACUCAGAACGGCCAAGUGAUACUGCUGUGCUAGAGUGCAGAAGGGGCAAUCGGAAUUCUUGGUGUAGCGGUGAAAUGCGUAGAUAUCAAGAGGAACACCUGGAGGUGAAGACGGGUUGCUGGGCUGACACUGACGUGAGGCGCGAAAGCCCAGGGGAGCAAACGGG